ensembl:lncRNA
GUGAAAGGUGAAUGAUGGCUGACAAUAAUAAAGAGGUCCACUGUCACCAACAUGUAGUGGUGAAGUUGUUCUCAGUUGACAGGAGAUACAGGAGUCCAUUCUGUUCCAAGUAGGUUACCUUGACUCUCCUCUAUGCACAGCACUCUGGAGACUUCCUGCAGUUGUUCUCAGGAGACAGGUCAGUGUGUGUGUGUGUGUGUGUAGAGAGAGAAUGCAUCAGGCUUCUAUUCUACUUCAUCACCCAGGACCACUACAUCAAUGAGGCAGAGGAAGCCAAGUUUGGACCAAUGAUGCUGAAGCCCCACUGUAAGAACCUGGAGAACUUCACUGGUUCUGAGGGAGCUGACGUGGCUACAAACAGUUUCUGGGACACCUUCCAGCGCUACUGCUGUCAAGACAUCUGUCUAGAGAACAGCCAGAGGGUGGUCAAGACAUCUGUCUAGAGAACAGCCAGAGGGUGGUCAAGACAUCUGUCUAGAGAACAGCCAGAGGGUGGUCAAGACAUCUGUCUGGAGAACAGCCAGAGGGUGGUCAAG